GUAGGGCAGGAGGGAAUUGUCCACAACAAGAACAGAAAGUGAAACCCAGGGAAAAAUUUACUCAUUGAAGAGAAGAGGAAACUGUGGUAAUUUGAAUGCAUUUGGCCCCAUGAUCUCUUAGGGAGUGGCACUAUUAGGACGUGUGGUUUUGUUGGAGUAGGUAUGGCCUUGUUGGAGGAAAUGUGUCACUGGCUUUGAGGUUUCCUAUGCUCAGGAUACUGCCCAGUGAGUCAGUUGACUUCCUGUUGCCUCUGAGUCAAGAUGUAGGACUCUCAGCGCUCCAUGUCUACCAUCCUCACCACGAUGAUAAUGGACUGAACCUCUGAAACUGGUCCAUAAAUCUUGUGAUGUGAGCUCAUGGACUUUAAGCAGCCUCAAGAACUUUGAAGAAUGAAAUAUUUAGCAAGGAGACAAGUGACUGCUGUUAUGGAAACGGAUAUUACCCACCCAGCAGUGGUGUGUUCUAAGUGCUUGACAUUCCAAUCUUAAAACCCAAGAAGUGGGUCUGUGAGGUGGCUCCACAGGUGGAGAUGCAUUGCAGGCCUGGAGACCUAGGCUGGAUGGAUUCUCGUGACCCAGCUGUUUUACAGACACCUGGGAAUGAGUGCUGUUACUGUAUCAGUGAGUCUGGCCUGGCGGAAACUAAUAUCAAGUCGCUCUGCAAAUUGUCUGAAGACUUCACCAAUAUGACCAGGGCAUCUCUCGGUUCCAUCUUCCUGGCAAUCUUCACUGUUCCCAAGGCUAGUCCCACUCAUAGAGCUUGUGGUUUCUCUGUAUUAUUUUGGAGGCUGUCCUGGAACUCACUCUGUAGACCAGUCUGGCCUCAAACUCACAGAGAUCCGCCUGCCUCUGCCUCUGCCGCCCACCCAAGUGCUGGGAUUAAAGGCGUGCACCACCAACUACUGGCUGAUCCUGUUGCAGCGUCUUCACACAGGUAAUGCUAUGGGAAGGGAACAUUACUGCAAUGUCUCAGGGCUUCAAUGCACAUUUACUCCUGCAUUUCACCGAUUUUCUCAUUAGCCUCCCUGCAGCUCAUGAUACUAGUAAUAUUUCUCAGGGUUCAAAGAUUUAUAUUUUAUUGUGUUUUUAUUUCUCUUGUAUCUGUGCCUAAUUUUUCAUCUUUCAAAAAAAAAAUUUAAGAAGUGGGAUUCUGAGAUCAUUGAAGACCUUGAUGCCCAGUUGAUGGGUUUGUCCCUGGUCCCAAGCAACUUGGAACUUGAAACUACUGUGAUGCUUCUGGAAAAACAAUUUGUUUAGAGAAGCUUCUAAACAAUGGAGUUUUGGUGCAGAAUUUAAAUGUUCCCCACUGGGCUGUAGAGAUGGCUUAGUGAUUAAAAGCACUGGCUGCUCUUUCAAAGGUCUUGAGUUCAAUUCUCAGCAACUACAUGGUAGCUUCCAAACAUCUAUAAUUGUAUCUGAUAAUUGUCUUCCAGAAUGUAGGCAUAUACUCAUAUACCUAAAAUACAUAAAUAAAAAUUAAGAAAGAAUUUUUUAAAAAAUGGUC
rnacentral:lncRNA from 1 species